CGGGCGCUUGGUCUAGGGGUAUGAUUUCCCCUUCGCAUAGCAUGUGAUUCAACACAUAAUAUCAACUGGGGAAGGUCGUGGGUUCAAUUCCCACAGUGUCCA
rnacentral:tRNA from 1 species